CACGUAGUUAGCCGUGACUUCCUCGCCGGGUACCAUCACUCAGAAAGCUUUCCACUCUUUCUGCCUUUUGUCCCCGGCAACAGAGCUUUACGAUCCGAAGACCUUCCUCGCUCACGCGGCAUUGCUCGUUCAGGGUUCCCCCCAUUGACGAAAAUUCCCUACUGCUGCCUCCCGCAGGAGUCUGGGCCGUGUCUCGGUCCCAGUGUGGCCGUCCGCCCUCUCAGGCCGGCUAUGCAUCGUCGCCUUGGUGAGCCGUUACCUCUCCAACCAGCUAAUGCACCGCAGGUCCAUCUGCAUGCGGGACUCUUGUCCCUUUUCCAAAAGAGAUGCCUCCUCUUGCUCAUCCGGUAUCAGCUUCCGUUCCAGAUUCUCCCGCUCAUGCAGGCAGGUUCCCUACGUGUUACUCACCCGUUCGCCCACUCCAUACUCCCGAAGUACUAGUCCGUUCGACUUGCAUGUAUUAGGCAUGCCGCCAGCCGUUUCACUCCUGAGCCCAGGUA
rnacentral:rRNA from 1 species